CAGGCCUAACACAUGCAAGUCGAACGGCAGCACGGAGCUUGCUCUGGUGGCGAGUGGCGAACGGGUGAGUAAUAUAUCGGAACGUACCCUAGAGUGGGGGAUAACGUAGCGAAAGUUACGCUAAUACCGCAUACGAUCUAAGGAUGAAAGUGGGGGAUCGCAAGACCUCAUGCUCGUGGAGCGGCCGAUAUCUGAUUAGCUAGUUGGUAGGGUAAAAGCCUACCAAGGCAUCGAUCAGUAGCUGGUCUGAGAGGACGACCAGCCACACUGGAACUGAGACACGGUCCAGAUUCCUACGGGAGGCAGCAGUGGGGAAUUUUGGACAAUGGGCGAAAGCCUGAUCCAGCAAUGCCGCGUGAGUGAAGAAGGCCUUCGGGUUGUAAAGCUCUUUUGUCAGGGAAGAAACGGUGAGAGCUAAUAUCUCUUGCUAAUGACGGUACCUGAAGAAUAAGCACCGGCUAACUACGUGCCAGCAGCCGCGGUAAUACGUAGGGUGCAAGCGUUAAUCGGAAUUACUGGGCGUAAAGCGUGCGCAGGCGGUUUUGUAAGUCUGAUGUGAAAUCCCCGGGCUCAACCUGGGAAUUGCAUUGGAGACUGCAAGGCUAGAAUCUGGCAGAGGGGGGUAGAAUUCCACGUGUAGCAGUGAAAUGCGUAGAUAUGUGGAGGAACACCGAUGGCGAAGGCAGCCCCCUGGGUCAAGAUUGACGCUCAUGCACGAAAGCGUGGGGAGCAAACAGGAUUAGAUACCCUGGUAGUCCACGCCCUAAACGAUGUCUACUAGUUGUCGGGUCUUAAUUGACUUGGUAACGCAGCUAACGCGUGAAGUAGACCGCCUGGGGAGUACGGUCGCAAGAUUAAAACUCAAAGGAAUUGACGGGGACCCGCACAAGCGGUGGAUGAUGUGGAUUAAUUCGAUGCAACGCGAAAAACCUUACCUACCCUUGACAUGGCUGGAAUCCUUGAGAGAUCAGGGAGUGCUCGAAAGAGAACCAGUACACAGGUGCUGCAUGGCUGUCGUCAGCUCGUGUCGUGAGAUGUUGGGUUAAGUCCCGCAACGAGCGCAACCCUUGUCAUUAGUUGCUACGAAAGGGCACUCUAAUGAGACUGCCGGUGACAAACCGGAGGAAGGUGGGGAUGACGUCAAGUCCUCAUGGCCCUUAUGGGUAGGGCUUCACACGUCAUACAAUGGUACAUACAGAGCGCCGCCAACCCGCGAGGGGGAGCUAAUCGCAGAAAGUGUAUCGUAGUCCGGAUUGUAGUCUGCAACUCGACUGCAUGAAGUUGGAAUCGCUAGUAAUCGCGGAUCAGCAUGUCGCGGUGAAUACGUUCCCGGGUCUUGUACACACCGCCCGU
rnacentral:rRNA from 1 species